UUUUCGGCGUUGAUGAGGAAUAGUACUUAUCGUCAGUCUUUACAGAGAGCUGUCAUAUGGUGGAAGGCAGUAAGAAGGACCCUAACGAACUCACCUCGGAGCUUCCUGUUGAAAGCUGAUCGCAAGUAGAUAAGGACGGAGGUCCACCGUUACAGGGACAGGAUAUCGGUAGAGUUACCUGUAUCCGGUAAGAGCAUCCUAUGAAGGAUGAAUUAGAGUGGUACCGCGAACGCCCCUUCGUCUCUAAC
rnacentral:ncRNA from 1 species